rnacentral:rRNA from 1 species
AUGAACGCUGGCGGCGUGCCUCAUACAUGCAAGUCGCGCGAACAGACGAGGAGCUUGCUCCUCUGACGUUAGCGGCGGACGGGUGAGUAACACGUGGAUAACCUACCUAUAAGACUGGGAUAACUUCGGGAAACCGGAGCUAAUACCGGAUAAUAUAUUGAACCGCAUGGUUCAAUAGUGAAAGACGGUUUUGCUGUCACUUAUAGAUGGAUCCGCGCCGCAUUAGCUAGUUGGUAAGGUAACGGCUUACCAAGGCAACGAUGCGUAGCCGACCUGAGAGGGUGAUCGGCCACACUGGAACUGAGACACGGUCCAGACUCCUACGGGAGGCAGCAGUAGGGAAUCUUCCGCAAUGGGCGAAAGCCUGACGGAGCAACGCCGCGUGAGUGAUGAAGGUCUUCGGAUCGUAAAACUCUGUUAUUAGGGAAGAACAAAUGUGUAAGUAACUAUGCACGUCUUGACGGUACCUAAUCAGAAAGCCACGGCUAGCUACGUG